rnacentral:rRNA from 1 species
CACCGCGGUUAUACGAGAGACCCAAGCUGACAGUCACCGGCGUAAAGAGUGGUUAAUUCACCCCAAUAAAACUAAAGCCGAACAUUUCCAAAGCUGUAAAACGCACUCGAAGGCAUGAAGACCAACCACGAAAGUAGCUUUACAUUAUUUGAAUCCACGAAAGCUAGGAAA